UACGGGGGGGGCAAGCGUUGUUCGGAAUUACUGGGCGUAAAGGGCUCGUAGGUGGCCAACUAAGUCGGACGUGAAAUCCCUCGGCUUAACCGGGGAACUGCGUCUGAUACUGGAUGGCUUGAGUUCGGGGAGAGGGAUGCGGAAUUCCAGGUGUAGCGGUGAAAUGCGUAGAUAUCUGGAGGAACACCGGUGGCGAAGGCGGCAUCCUGGACCGACACUGACGCUGAGACGCGAAAAGCGUGGGGGAGCGAACAGG
rnacentral:rRNA from 1 species